ACCUGUGGCAUAGUGGUUUGAGUGUUGGACUGUGACUUUGGAGACCAGGGUUCGAUUCCCUGCUUAGCUA